GCCCGGGUGGUGGAAUUGGUAGACACGCUGUCUUGAGGGGGCAGUGGACGAAAGUUCGUGCGAGUUCGAGUCUCGCCCCGGGCA
rnacentral:tRNA from 1 species